ACGGAGGGUGCGAGCGUUAAUCGGAAUUACUGGGCGUAAAGCGUGCGUAGGCUGUAUGUCAAGUCAAGGGUGAAAUCCCCGGGCUCACCCCGGGAACUGCCUUUGAAACUGGCAAACUAGAGUAUGUGAGAGGGUGGCGGAAUUCCAGGUGUAGGAGUGAAAUCCGUAGAUAUCUGGAGGAACACCAGUGGCGAAGGCGGCCACCUGGCACAAAACUGACGCUGAGGUACGAAAGCGUGGGUAGCAAACAG
rnacentral:rRNA from 1 species